UACGUAGGUGGCAAGCGUUGUCCGGAAUUAUUGGGCGUAAGCGCGCGCAGGCGGCCUCCUAAGUCCGAUGUGAAAGCCCACGGCUCAACCGUGGAGGGUCAUUGGAAACUGGGGGACUUGAGUGCAGGAGAGAAGAGUGGAAUUCCACGUGUAGCGGUGAAAUGCGUAGAGAUGUGGAGGAACACCGAUGGCGAAGGCAGCCCCCUGGGCUAACACUGACGCUCAGGCACGAAAGCGUGGGGAGCAAACAGG
rnacentral:rRNA from 1 species